rnacentral:rRNA from 1 species
UACGGAGGGUGCGAGCGUUGUCCGGAAUCACUGGGCGUAAAGGGCGCGUAGGCGGCCUGAUAAGUAGGGGGUGAAAUCCUGCGGCUUAACCGCAGGGCUGCCUUCUAAACUGUCAGGCUUGAGCACAGUAGAGGCAGGUGGAAUUCCCGGUGUAGCGGUGGAAUGCGUAGAUAUCGUAAGGAAGACCAGUGGCGAAGGCGGGUCUCUGGACAGUUCCUGACGCUGAGGCACGAAGGUCAGGGGAGCAAACGGG